UUUUUCUGAUGUGAAUAUGAGAGACCCCCAGAGCAGGGAGACCCUCACUCAAGUCUCGGGAUGACGCGACCCCCCAAGAACUCACGUAAGACC
rnacentral:pre_miRNA from 14 species